rnacentral:lncRNA from 1 species
AUAUUCCUUGGACUUAUCGUUUAAGCAUAUAACAUUUAUAUGAGACGGCUCAAACAAUAAUGUUUGCCCUUGAUAUUAAACUAGAUUAGUUUCACAUGUGAAAUGUCCGUAAAGUAUCAUCAUAUGAUUGGUUUUAGGGCACAUUUCCAACAACAAGUUGAAGUUGUUUAGUUACCACCAGAGCCAAAAAGCCUUACCUUUUGCAUAUGUAUUGUAGGUUUAACCCAUUUGAGCCUUAUUUAGCCUAUUUUCUUUUUUAGCCACAUUAUCCUUACCUAGCCUAGAAUAGGAUUAUCCAUACCCUUGUUCUUGAAGUAUAGUGGAGCAUGACUUGUUGGAAAUGUGCCCUAAAACCAAUCAUAUGAUGAUACUUUACGGACAUUUCACAUGUUAAACUAAUCUAGUUUAAUAUCAAGGGCAUAGAUUAUUGUUUUAAGCCACCUCAUAUAAAUGUUAUAUGCUUAAACGAUAAGUCCAAGGAAUAUGUGAUUGGGAGAAUACGAU